rnacentral:rRNA from 1 species
UACGUAGGUGGCAAGCGUUGUCCGGAUUUAUUGGGUUUAAAGGGUGCGUAGGCGGCUUUGUAAGUCAGUGGUGAAAUAUGGCAGCUCAACUGUCAGGGUGCCAUUGAUACUGCAGAGCUUGAGUACAGAUGAGGUAGGCGGAAUUGACGGUGUAGCGGUGAAAUGCUUAGAUACCAUCCAGAACCCCGAUUGCGAAGGCAGCUGCCUAGACUGUAACUGACGCUGAGGCACGAAAGCGUGGGGAGCGAACAGG